GUCUUUGCCACUUUCUCAUGCUCUUCCUCCUGAUUAUGAGCAUAUACGGGUUUUCCGUCACUCCCACCGCAAAUUCAAAAAUAGAGGUUCCUAUAAUCGUUAGACUACUGCUAUCACCGACUCUACUGUGCUAUCACCUGAUUCUGCUUCUUCUUCCACCCUUACUACUGCUGAUAUCGAGACAAUAGUUACCCAGGUUUUAUCACGCAUUAAUAUUCAUUCAUCUGCUCUCUCAACCACAUCAGGUACUUUACCUUGGCUUUUUGAUACUGCCUGUUGCAAUCAUAUAACUUCUGAUACUUUUUUAUUCUCUAUCACACCUCCCACUUCCUUCGUGCAUCCUAUUCACACAACUAAUGGCUCUCUUAUGACUACUACUCAUACUGACAUUAUUGUCACUCCUGAUCUUACUAUUGACCAUACUUAUCUUGUUCCUGUUUUUUCCCAUAAUUUAUUAUCUGUUGGUCAACUUUGUGAACUUGGUUUAGACUUACAUUUUUCCAAUUCUGGUUGUCUUAUUUAGGAUCCACAGACAGAAAAAAUCAUUGGGACCAGCCGUAAAGUGGGUCGAUUGUUUGAGUUAGAGUCUCUUCAUGUUCCUUCUCAAUCUGUUGUUGCUGCCUCUAAUUCAAGUAGUCAUGUUUCCUUUAGCCUCUAGCAUUCUCACUUAAGUCAUGCCUCUUUAUCAAAAUUGCAAAAAUUAGUAUCUCGUGGUUAUUUAGGUUCUGUUAAAAUAGAAACAAAUUUUUAUUAUCUUGCUUGUUAAACUGGGAAAUAACAUGUGUUAUCUGUUCAUAAUAAUAAUUCUUUUGCUACUGCACCUUUGACCUUGUUCACUCUGAUGUGUAGGGUCCUCUCCCAUUUCCUCUACUAGUGUAGUUUUUGGAUAUCUUGUCAUUUUUGUCAUUGAUGAUAUUCUCUAUAUAUAUGGAUUUAUCCUUAUACACAUAAGAUCUGAGUUACUUUGGAUUUAUGAUGAAUUUCAAAAAGGGUUCAAACGCAAUUUUUUUCGAAAAUUAAAAAUUUUCGUUCUAAUAUUGCUCAGAAUCUAACCAAACUAUUUUCUCAACAUUCUUAAACAAAUGGCACAUUCCCACACUCAUCAUUUCCGGUACUUCUUUACCAAAAUGGACGUUCCAGCACAAUUUUGGCACAUCUUGGAUACUAUUCCUGCCUUUCUCAUUUUUACCUAUCACUGAAUCCUUUUGGGGAGAAGCUGCCCUUACUGCUGUCUACACAUCAUUAGUUACCGACAACAUAUCCUCUUAUGAACGUCUAUAUAAUACUCCUCCUAAUUAUAACAUUUUUCGUAUGUUUGGGAGUUCAUGUUUUGUUCUUCUUCAACCUCAUGGACGCAAUAAGUUAGAACCUCGUUUCGACUUUGCUGUUUUUUAGGGUAUGGAAUUGAACAUAAGGGAUAUCGUUGUUAUGAUCUUAUCUCUAAACGUCUUUACAUUUCUUGACAUGUUGAAUUUUGGGAAGAUAUUAAGUUUUCGAAUAUUUUCAAAACACCUAUACCAUCUAGACUUGGCCACCCUCUUUUUACUGUCCCUUCAUUAUAUAUUAUCUCACCUGUUACUUUUCCCUUUUCUACAGGUUCUCUACCAUCACCAAGUCUCACAACCCUCGCCAUGGACAUUCCCAAUGCUUCCCCACUAGAGGCUUCGCCAUCCAUUUCUUGUCCUCCUACUCGUUGUUCCACCAGAGUCAGAACUGCACCCUCUCAUUUUUGUUAUUAUCAUUGUUAUUUUUCUCUUUCUACUUUGCCAUGAGCAUCGGCAUUUUAUGAGGCAUCCUCUAUCCUGAUUGGUAGAAAGCAAUAAAAAUGCGUAGAGUGCUCUUGAUACAACUCACACAGGGGCAUGGUUAACUUAUCGUCUACAACAUAAGUGAUGCAAAUAGGUGUAUAAGAUAAGACUCAGGCUGAUGGUACUGUUGAAAGGUACAAAAGCCAACGUCUGGCGCCGUGGACUUUACUUAGGGACUAUGGGAUGAUUAUGGGGCAGAUUUUUGCUCCUAUGCUUGCCUACCUCGUGUUCGUACUAUAUUGACUGUUGCACAGUUCGUUAGAUGGGUCUGUGCCAAAUAGAUAUGAAAAGGUUUCCUCAAUGGUGAUUUUACAAGAAAGAAGUAUAUAUGACUCAUCCCUUGGCUAUGUUCAUUCUCCUCAUAAGGUAUGCGUCAUUGUAGUGCUCUGUAUGGACUUAAGCCAAGCCCGCGAGAUGGUUUGAUAAAUUCGUUCCCAUAUCUUCUAAGCUGGGUUCUCUUUACCAAUUAUGAUUCAAACACUUCUUUCUCAAGAAGUCUACUGAGGGCAGGUUCUCUGUUACUAUAGGUUGAUGAUAUGAUUAUUAAUGGUUUAAUGAUCUGAAAUGUAUGCCGAUCUUAACAUUCUCAAUUGGCAAUUGGAACUGAAGAUUGGGCUAUUGAGUAUUCUUGGGCAUUGAAGUUUAUUCUUGGGCAUGAAAGUCAUCUAAAUCUGAUGGGGUAUUAUUGUCUC
rnacentral:lncRNA from 1 species